rnacentral:rRNA from 1 species
AUGAACGCUGGCGGCGUGCCUAAUACAUGCAAGUCGAGCGAACGGACGAGAAGCUUGCUUUUCUGAUGUUAGCGGCGGACGGGUGAGUAACACGUGGAUAACCUACCUAUAAGACUGGGAUAACUUCGGGAAACCGGAGCUAAUACCGGAUAAUAUUUUGAACCGCAUGGUUCAAAAGUGAAAGACGGUCUUGCUGUCACUUAUAGAUGGAUCCGCGCUGCAUUAGCUAGUUGGUAAGGUAACGGCUUACCAAGGCAACGAUGCAUAGCCGACCUGAGAGGGUGAUCGGCCACACUGGAACUGAGACACGGCCCAGACUCCUACGGGAGGCAGCAGUAGGGAAUCUUCCGCAAUGGGCGAAAGCCUGACGGAGCAACGCCGCGUGAGUGAUGAAGGUCUUCGGAUCGUAAAACUCUGUUAUUAGGGAAGAACAUAUGUGUAAGUAACUGUGCACAUCUUGACGGUACCUAAUCAGAAAGCCACGGCUAACUACGU